UUUAAUAUGGCAGAAAUUAAUGCAUUGGAUUUAAAUCCCAAAAAUAAARAAAUUCUUUUAUUAAAA
rnacentral:tRNA from 1 species